GCUUUGUGAACCAGAAAUAAACCAAAUCCAAAUAUUUUAGACUCACUAGAAGUCAUCCCACCCAAAUGAGGCCCUGUAUAACAAAAUCGCUGCUGAUACAAAAUUUUCGAUUUACCUUAAAGACCAUCCAUCAUUAACAUUAACCCACUAAAGGGUAAAAUGAUGCAUACAUGUUAAUAGACUAAAAAGAACAUUCAGUGUGGAAACCAAAGCAUAUUUUGCAACCCAGCCCGAGCUAUAUCCUUGCAUCAGCAAAACCUUUAAACUCGUCAACUUCAGGCAACAAGUAAAAAUGAUUGUGGUUCUGCUGCUUCGAUUAAUCUACAUUGUAAGGGUUACAACAAAGGCCACAGCAAGAUUCAACAUCUCACGAUAUGUAGCACGCUUCCUUAGAGAAGUCCUUGCAAAGCUGGCUGACACCCAAAAAAAGAAAAUCGAAGAGAGAGAGAGAGAG
rnacentral:misc_RNA from 1 species